UUGGGAUUGGUUUGUGAGGAAGAUGGUAAUUUUCGCUGUGAAAGUUGCCAUGGAGAACUCCGGGCAGAGAGUGACAAGUUUGCAGCUCAAGAAGGAGGAGAUGGAGAUGAUAAUGCAAGGAAGCGGCGCCGUGAAAAACUGAAGAGCAUGCUUCAAAAACUGGAGGUUUUACAAUGUUGGUACUUUUCCUCUGUCUACCAUGCAUCAUCUGAAUUUCUGUGGUACUAUCAUCACAUAAUGAGAUUAUAGGUAUGCUUCGGCACUAUAGCACGGGGAGGUUUGAAUAAGUCAAAGAGAAUAUCUUUCUGCUUUAUGGAUAAUUGCGUUGUAGCUGGUUUGGUGACAAGACUCAGCUCGAGCCCUUGAUGAGUCAACUCGACAGAGUGAAAGAUUUGGCUGUGACUGAAUUUGGAACUCUCCAAGCAUGGGAAGCUCGAGCAAGUGCCGCUGGGCGUGCACCUAAUGGCGAUUCUAGUUCCAAUGAUCCCUCAAAAUCUUCUCAGGUUGGGUAUGGUGGAACACCAAUGCCAUUUCUUGGUGACACAAAGACUGUCAACGAAUUUCGUGGCUCAACACUUGGGCAACAGAUCUCGUGGCUUAGGACGAUGCUCUUCCUCCUUCUUCGAUUGCCAAUGAUGUUUCUUGAGUGGGAGAAGAAGAUAGGUGGAAAGGUCAGUUUCAGUCACCAGAGAAGCAAAAGAGAAAAUGCAAACCCUAAGAGGGAAAU